ACUCCUACGGGAGGCAGCAGUAGGGAAUAUUGCGCAAUGGAGGAAACUCUGACGCAGCGACGCCGCGUGUGUGAUGAAGGCUUUCGGGUCGUAAAGCACCGUCAGAAGGGAAGAAAACCACCUUGGAAAUACUUGGGUGGCUUGACGGUACCUUCGAAGGAAGCACCGGCUAACUACGUGCCAGCAGCCGCGGUAAUACGUAGGGUGCUAACGUUGUUCGGAAUUACUGGGCGUAAAGCGCAUGCGAGUGGUUUGUUAAGUCAGAUGUGAAAGCCCGGGGCUCAACCUCGGAAUAGCAUUUGAAACUGGCAGACUAGAGUACUGUAGAGGGGGUAGAAUUUCAGGUGUAGCGGUGAAAUGCGUAGAGAUCUGAAGGAAUACCGGUGGCGAAGGCGGCCCCUGGACAGAUACUGACACUCAGAUGCGAAAGCGUGGGGGAGCAAACAGGAUUAGAUACCCUGGUAGU
rnacentral:rRNA from 1 species